rnacentral:tRNA from 1 species
GCCUGGGUGGCUCAGUCAGAUAAGCAUCUGACUUCAGCUCAGGUCAUGAUUUCACGUGGGUUCACGUGGGUUCACGUGGGUUCACAUGGGUUUACGUGGGUUCGUGGGUUCACGCCCCGCCUCAGGCU